rnacentral:rRNA from 1 species
UACGAAGGGGGCUAGCGUUGCUCGGAAUUACUGGGCGUAAAGGGCGCGUAGGCGGCACUGUUAGUCAGGCGUGAAAGUCCUGGGCUCAACCUGGGAACUGCGCUUGAUACGGCAGAGCUAGAGGAUGGAAGAGGCUCGCGGAAUUCCCAGUGUAGAGGUGAAAUUCGUAGAUAUUGGGAAGAACACCGGUGGCGAAGGCGGCGCUCUGGACCGAGACUGACGCUGAGGCGCGAAAGCGUGGGGAGCAAACAGG